CGCUAUCACUCCUACGGGGAGGCAGCAGUAGGGAAUCUUCCACAAUGGGCGCAAGCCUGAUGGAGCAACACCGCGUGAGUGAAGAAGGGUUUCGGCUCGUAAAGCUCUGUUGUUUAAAGAAGAACACGUAUGAGAGUAACUGUUCAUACGUUGACGGUAUUUAACCAGAAAGUCACGGCUAACUACGUGCCAGCAGCCGCGGUAAUACGUAGGUGGCAAGCGUUAUCCGGAUUUAUUGGGCGUAAAGAGAGUGCAGGCGGUUUUCUAAGUCUGAUGUGAAAGCCUUCGGCUUAACCGGAGAAGUGCAUCGGAAACUGGAUAACUUGAGUGCAGAAGAGGGUAGUGGAACUCCAUGUGUAGCGGUGGAAUGCGUAGAUAUAUGGAAGAACACCAGUGGCGAAGGCGGCUACCUGGUCUGCAACUGACGCUGAGACUCGAAAGCAUGGGUAGUGAACAGGAUUAGAUACCCCUGGUAG
rnacentral:rRNA from 1 species